rnacentral:rRNA from 1 species
GACGAACGCUGGCGGCGUGCUUAACACAUGCAAGUCGAACGAAGAGCGAUGGAAGCUUGCUUCUAUCAAUCUUAGUGGCGAACGGGUGAGUAACGCGUAAUCAACCUGCCCUUCAGAGGGGGACAACAGUUGGAAACGACUGCUAAUACCGCAUACGAUCUAAUCUCGGCAUCGAGGAUAGAUGAAAGGUGGCCUCUACAUGUAAGCUAUCACUGAAGGAGGGGAUUGCGUCUGAUUAGCUAGUUGGAGGGGUAACGGCCCACCAAGGCGAUGAUCAGUAGCCGGUCUGAGAGGAUGAACGGCCACAUUGGGACUGAGACACGGCCCAGACUCCUACGGGGGGCAGCAGUGGGGAAUCUUCCGCAAUGGACGAAAGUCUGACGGAGCAACGCCGCGUGAGUGAUGACGGCCUUCGGGUUGUAAAGCUCUGUUAAUCGGGACGAAAGGCCUUCUUGCGAAUAGUGAGAAGGAUUGACGGUACCGGAAUAGAAAGCCACGGCUAACUACGUG